CUCCUUUCCUUUUUUUUUUAUUUAAUGCAGCAUAUUAACUAUAGCCUGUACAUCGAAAUCAUCUCACAAGCAGUAUUGUUUUAACGCCACAAUAUAUAUAAACUUAAAGGUUAACUCUUUUACCGUUUUUCCCCACAAAAAAAAUUAAAUACAACAAUCAAAUAUGCAUUUAAAUUGGAAAAAUUGGCAUUGUGCAUUUUCCAGACUUGGCUGUAACCGAGUCAUUCCUAUUGUAAUU